UAGGGAAUCUUCCGCAAUGGGCGAAAGCCUGACGGAGCAACGCCGCGUGAGUGAUGAAGGUCUUCGGAUCGUAAAACUCUGUUAUUAGGGAAGAACAAAUGUGUAAGUAACUAUGCACGUCUUGACGGUACCUAAUCAGAAAGCCACGGCUAACUACGUGCCAGCAGCCGCGGUAAUACGUAGAUGGCAAGCGUUAUCCGGAAUUAUUGGGCGUAAAGCGCGCGUAGGCGGUUUUUUAAGUCUGAUGUGAAAGUCCACGGCUCAACCGUGGAGGGUCAUUGGAAACUGGAAAACUUGAGUGCAGAAGAGGAAAGUGGAAUUCCAUGUGUAGCGGUGAAAUGCGCAGAGAUAUGGAGGAACACCAGUGGCGAAGGCGACUUUCUGGUCUGUAACUGACGCUGAUGUGCGAAAGCGUGGGGAUCAAACAGG
rnacentral:rRNA from 1 species